rnacentral:rRNA from 1 species
GGACUACCCGGGUUUCUAAUCCCGUUCGCUCCCCUGGCUUUCGCUCCUCAGCGUCAGAAUCAGGCCAGAAAGCCGCCUUCGCCACUGGUAUUCCUCCGGAUAUCUACGCAUUUCACCGCUACACCCGGAAUUCUGCUUUCCUCUCCUGUCCUCAAGAACAACCGUAUCUCAGAUGAGCCAUCCGUUGAGCAGAUGGAUUUACUCCAAGACGUGCUGUCCCGCCUACGAGCUCUUUACGCCCAGUGAUUCCGGACAACGCUCGCCCCCUACGUCUUACCGCGGCGGCUGGCAC